rnacentral:rRNA from 1 species
UGGGGAAUUUUGGACAAUGGGCGCAAGCCUGAUCCAGCCAUGCCGCGUGAGUGAAGAAGGUCUUCGGAUUGUAAAGCUCUUUUGCCAGGGACGAUAAUGACGGUACCUGGAGAAUAAGCCCCGACAAACUUCGUG